rnacentral:rRNA from 1 species
CCUGGUUGAUCCUGCCAGUAGUCAUAUGCUUGUCUCAAAGAUUAAGCCAUGCAUGUCUAAGUAUAAACGGAUUUGUACUGUGAAACUGCGAAUGGCUCAUUAAAUCAGUUAUAGUUUAUUUGAUAGUCUCUACUACAUGGAUACCCGUGGUAAUUCUAGAGCUAAUACAUGCGACAAAACCCGACGCAAGAAGGGUUGUAUUUAUUAGAUACAGAACCAACAUGACUUGGUGAUUCAAAAUAACUUUGCGAACCUCAUGGCCUUGUGCUGGAGGUGAAUCAUUCAAAUUUCUGCCCUAUCAACUUUCGAUGGUAAGGUAUUGGCUUACCAUGGUUACAACGGGUAACGGGGAAUUAGGGUUCGAUUCCGGAGAGGGGGCCUGAGAAAUGGCCACCACUUCCAAGGAAGGCAGCAGGCGCGCAAAUUACCCAAUCCCGACACGGGGAGGUAGUGACAAAAAAUAGCAAAGCGGGGGCCUUGUGCCGCCGCUAUUGCAAUGAGGACAACGUAAACACGUUACCGAGAACCAACUGGAGGGCAAGUGAGGUGCCAGCAGCCGCGGUAAUUCCUUCUCCAGGAGCGUAUAUUAAAGUUGAUGCAGUUAAAAAGCUCGUAGUCUGAGGUUUGGGCGCGGGGGUGGCGGGGGCGCAAGCUCCUGUUUUGUUCCCGGGCCCAAUUUUUGUGGACGGGUGGUGCGGGGCUCUUUGUUGAACCUCGUGCCGCUGCCACGGCUUUACUUUGAGAAAAUUGGAGUGUUCAAAGCAGGCGUUUUUGCUUGAACAGAUUAGCAUGGAAUAAUGGAACAGGACUUUGGCCUUGUUUUGUUGGUUUCCGGGGCCGAGGUAAUGAUAAGUCGGGACAGUUGGGGGCAUUCGUAUUUAGUUGUCAGAGGUGAAAUUCUUGGAUUUACUACAGACGAACAUCUGCGAAAGCAUCUGCCAGGGAUGUUUUCAUUGAUCAAGAACGAAAGUUAGGGGAUCGAAGGUGAUUAGAGACCAUCUUAGUCUUAACCAUAAACGAUGCCGACUGGGGAUGGGGGGAUGGUGUUUUGCCUUCCUCUGCACCCUGUGGGAAACCAAAGUGUUUGGGUU